AGGACAUGAUCCAGGACAAAUGAGAUGCAGCCCAGCCCUCCCAGGGCCCUGAGUGUCUGCUGGAUUUCCAACAGAUUAGCAACCAGCAAGCCUUCUGAAAGCGAUGGCACUGCUGAGGACCUCUCUAAGGGAAGCGGUGCUGGAGAUAAACUUGCUUCCUGGGUUUCAGUGGGGCAUCCACCUUCCAUCAUAAAGCUGACAUUCCAAGAGGAAAACGAGAAUAGAAUUGAAGAGGACCAGGGGUAGUCUACUUAAGAAACUUCUCUUCUCUAUAGUUGAAGUCUCGCCCAAAGAAAACAUCUCCCAGGCUGCUCUUGGAGUCCAUUUUCACUGGCAGGACCGAGGCAAGCUAGCCUCUGCCGCAUCUCCACAGCGCACUAUCUGAGGAAGGAACCUCUGAUGGACUGGACGGGAACUGUCUAUAACACCAGCUUGGAGAAAAUGCCUUUCUUCAAUUAUCUAAAUUACUUUCAUCACUAAUGAACAAACCCUCCGCACCUCAGGCUCUUCUAUUACACCAGACUACUUUGAAGGUUAAAGUGAACAGCGUGUGGCAUUAUGAAGCCUUGGCUAUAAGAGAAGUGGUUGUGGACAUUUUUAAAAAAAAUAUUCUAAGCAUUGGAAACAAUCAUUGGCUCUAAAGGCCCUCACUACGAAGCAUCAGUUAACACCAUGCUAAAUUCUAUUUUUAUGUGUACGUGUCUGCUUACUAGAAAAGACCAGUGUCCUUGGAGUCCUUGGCCUAGUCAGUCAGACUCCUGAAGAAAUAAGCAGACACCAUGAUGCCAACUGUCUACUUAUUGCUACUGCAAGUUCCUGCAUUAGAGGACAUGGGACUUUCUAGUAUACAGGUCCAUACAUUGAAAGACAACCCUGCUGAUGGUGCUCCCGGGGCAUGGUGGAUCCUUUGGGAGCUAGAGCUAGUUUGGUCGUUGGAGAUGUAGCCACAGGGGUAAUGGAUCCCAGGCUGCCCUUCAUGGCUUUGCUUUCCUGAGUAAGAGAGGUCAGCAUAUCUGCAAUCAGGAUGUAAAACCAACAGAGUCCACUGCAGCAGUGAUCCCACCAAAGCCGUCACUAAUCGUAAGACAUCUUAGAACAGAAGAAUCAUGUUGUCUUUUGCCAGAC